rnacentral:rRNA from 1 species
GGGGUAAACGGGAGAAAUCCUGAAUUCGAAAGGGGCCGGAUUCCAGUCCAUCCAGGUACAUCGGGCCGUCUUGCCCCGCCAGAUGGCGUCGGUCGCCCGCGGUGAUUCAUUUCGCUUGCGGUGUCGUUCCCGGCGAUCACUCGGCGGGGUGGCGCGUCUCCGGUUCCGGAGGGCCGCAUUUCCACCCUUUGUAGAAACGUCGCGACCCGUUGGGUGCCGGUCUAAGGCCCGGGUAGGCAGACCGUUCGUUCCGCGGGGGCUCUCGCGGGCGGGCGGACUCCUGGUGACCCGGCCGGCUGCCCGACGGUAUGACCAGAGGAGCCGAUCCGCUAAUUGGGAAACACUUUGGUUGUGUAGCGUCUGGCCCGGCGCCGAUGCGCGAGGGGAUUGAGGUGCAAACCUUUGGGUGUCCGUGUUGACCACGGCCCCGGCCUCUCUGCGU